AAGGCACUAGUAGAAUAGCAUUACACUGCCUUGUCAAGGCAGAAUUGUGGGUUUAAACCCCACGUGCCUUG
rnacentral:tRNA from 1 species